CACGUAGGGCGCGAGCGUUGUCCGGAAUUAUUGGGCGUAAAGAGCUCGUAGGCGGCCUGUUGCGUCCGCUGUGAAAGCCCGGGGCUUAACCCCGGGUCGGCAGUGGAUACGGGCAGGCUAGAGGUAGGUAGGGGAGAAUGGAAUUCCCGGUGUAGCGGUGAAAUGCGCAGAUAUCGUUUGGAACGCCAAUGGUGAAAACAGACGACUGGGAGUGUGCUGACGCUGAGACACGAAAGCCAGGGGAGCGAACGGG
rnacentral:rRNA from 1 species